GCUGGGCAUGGUGGCCCAUGCCUGUGUCCCCAGCCACUUGGGAGCUAAGGCAGGGGGACCUCAAGUUCAAAGCCAGCCCCAGCAACUUAGUGACACCCUGUCUCAA
rnacentral:sRNA from 1 species